AGUCGACGGGUCCUUCGGGACUAGUGGCGGACGGGUGAGUAACGCGUGGGAAUAUACCCUUUGGUACGGAAUAGCCUCGGGAAACUGAGAGUAAUACCGUAUGUGCCCUUCGGGGGAAAGAUUUAUCGCCAAAGGAUUAGCCCGCGUUGGAUUAGGUAGUUGGUGGGGUAAUGGCCUACCAAGCCGACGAUCCAUAGCUGGUUUGAGAGGAUGAUCAGCCACACUGGGACUGAGACACGGCCCAGACUCCUACGGGAGGCAGCAGUGGGGAAUCUUAGACAAUGGGGGAAACCCUGAUCUAGCCAUGCCGCGUGAUCGAUGAAGGCCUUAGGGUUGUAAAGAUCUUUCAGUUGGGAAGAUAAUGACGGUACCAACAGAAGAAGCCCCGGCUAACUCCGUGCCAGCAGCCGCGGUAAUACGGAGGGGGCUAGCGUUAUUCGGAAUUACUGGGCGUAAAGCGCACGUAGGCGGAUUAGAAAGUCAGAGGUGAAAUCCCAGGGCUCAACCUUGGAACUGCCUUUGAAACUCCUAGUCUUGAGGUCGAGAGAGGUGAGUGGA
rnacentral:rRNA from 1 species